GCGGGCGUAGUAUAGUGGUAGUACGGGACCCUUCCAAGGUCCAGACGCGGGUUCGAUUCCCGCAUCCCGCUCCA
rnacentral:tRNA from 1 species